AUACGUAGGGGGCAAGCGUUAUCCGGAUUUACUGGGUGUAAAGGGAGCGUAGACGGCGAAGCAAGUCUGAAGUGAAAGGACGGGGCCCAACCCCGGAACUGCUUUGGAAACUGUUUGGCUGGAGUGCGGGAGGGGUAAGCGGAAUUCCUAGUGUAGCGGUGAAAUGCGUAGAUAUUAGGAGGAACACCGGUGGCGAAGGCGGCGUACUGGACCUUAACUGACGUUGAGGCUCGAAGGCGUGGGGAGCAAACAGGAUUAGAUACCCUGGUAGUCCACGCGGUAAACGAUGAUCACUAGGUGUCCGUGGGUAUGACCCAUGGGUGCCGCAGCCAACGCAAUAAGUGAUCCACCUGGGGAGUACGUUCGCAAGAAUGAAACUCAAAUGAAUUGACGGGG
rnacentral:rRNA from 1 species